rnacentral:misc_RNA from 1 species
AACGCACAUUGCGCCCUCUGGUAUUCCGGAGGGCAUGCCUGUUCGAGCGUCAUUUCAACCCUCAAGCCUGGCUUGGUGUUGGGGCACUGCUCCGAGAGGAGCAGGCCCUGAAAUCUAGUGGCGAGCUCGCUAGGACCCCGAGCGUAGUAGUUAUAUCUCGUUCUGGAAGGCCCUGGCGGUGCCCUGCCGUUAAACCCCCAACUUCUGAAAUUUUGACCUCGGAUCAGGUAGGAAUACCCGCUGAACUUAA